AUACCAAACUGAACAAAUGUCUGCUGUCUCAAAACAGUAGUUCCCUCUGAUGUGUCUCAUUUUGCAUGGCCAGCACUUGGUGGUGGUAGGGUGCAGAAGAAAACACACUUUUCCCUGUGAAAAGCAACAAAGAAAUGAGAUUAUUGGUACCAAACAGGACUUUACUGCAAAGAAGCUGUAAUUGUUCAGAGUGUUCUGUAGCAAAGGGGGCAGAACUGCCAGCAGUAUUUAUUUGUUGUGUCCAGGUGUCUGUAUAAGUAGCACAUUUCUGGUCAGUAAGCACGUGUUCUUUCUAGCAUAUGGAUCAAGGCUGACCUUUCUUUGGCAAGGCUAGGGGUUUACCUGUGCCAGUUUCUUUUCACUACUGCAAAAUCAGAAUAUUUAGCUUAAAUAUUGUGACCCUUACUCCUGGUAUUUUUUCUCAAUAUACUGACAGGGGGGUAGGUGGGAAGAACCUGGGAGGUCAGUUGAGUUCCAUCUCUCAGGCUCCAAGGACUGUGAGUUUCUGUACUGCUUUUAUGAUGGGCUUCUGCAUUUCAUCUUCCUCCUGAGAGGUGAAAUAAGCUGCAAAUGUACCUGCCUAGGCUGCACAGGAAGUUACCAUUAGCACAUGACUAUUAUAUUGAAAUCUGACAUCAGAGCAGCUCUUCUCUGUGUAACCUAACACCAGGGAAUUUCAAAUAGGAACAACAUAAUAAAUUGUCUUUACAAGUCUUUUGUCUUAGAAGUGCAGCUGACUUCAAUGGGUUUUAAUCCUAUAAUUCUGAUAGCACAGAGUGUAUAGUAAAAAGCCCACAAACAGGAAUCAGCCUCACACAAAGUGUCAAUCAUUUUGAGUUCAUCUGUAAAAUUAAGAGACUUCAGUGUAGAGCUAACCCCUCUCACCUUUCAGUGGCAGUGUCACCUACAUUUCAUCUCUAAAGCGUGGGGAUGUGAUCUGUGCUUUUAUUUUCCACCUUCAGUGCAUCUCUAUGUAGCCAGUUACUCAAGUGUGGAGUCACUUAUUAAGUUAUCUAAGCAGUAGCAUCAACUCAUAGAUUUAAAAAUAGCUAUACAAAUAUUUUUGUCUUGAUCCUGAUUUUUGAAUAAAGGGGCUAUUCCCAUGGAUGGAAGUUGAGCAGGCUUAGUUUUAACUUUUAAGGGCAUGAAGCUGAAAUUUAGGGAAGGAGAAGAGGAACCCACUUUGAAAACUCUAUAUGAACAGUGUUUAAGAGGAAAAGCAGUAUAGCACUUAAAUAUUCUAGAAACUUGAGGGCUUUGUAAUACAAGCAGUCUCAUUAGCUAGGACAGUAAUUGCAUUCAAACUAUUCUGGAAAGAAGAUCCAGAGUAGUUAUGCAGAGCCUAUUCAUGAAAAGUUUUUGGAUCAAGUUUUUACCAAAAAGAUUUGCAUUGUUUAUGUGAUUUCAUAUUAGGUUGUUGAUGUUCAGUCCAGAUGUGGU